rnacentral:rRNA from 1 species
AACGAACGCUUGCGGCAGGCUUAACACAUGCAAGUCGAGCGCCCCGCAAGGGGAGCGGCAGACGGGUGAGUAACGCGUGGGAAUCUACCCAUCUCUACGGAAUAACGCAUGGAAACGUGUGCUAAUACCGUAUACGUCCUUCGGGAGAAAGAUUUAUCGGGGAUGGAUGAGCCCGCGUUGGAUUAGCUAGUUGGUGGGGUAAAGGCCUACCAAGGCGACGAUCCAUAGCUGGUCUGAGAGGAUGAUCAGCCACACUGGGACUGAGACACGGCCCAGACUCCGACGGGAGGCAGCAGUGGGGAAUAUUGGACAAUGGGCGCAAGCCUGAUCCAGCCAUGCCGCGUGAGUGAUGAAGGCCCUAGGGUUGUAAAGCUCUUUCACCGGUGAAGAUAAUGACGGUAACCGGAGAAGAAGCCCCGGCUAACUUCGUGCCAGCAGCCGCAGUAACAC